AAAAAGAUAAACCAUGGGUUUACGUGUCCAACGUUUGACCGUCCGUCUUAUUUGAAAAAAUUAAAAAGACAAGUCACGCAUUAAGUAUUAAUCAUGUUUUAUUAUCUAACAAUAAUAAAAAUACUAAUUAUAAAAAAAUUUCAUAUAAGACGGACAGUCAAACGUUGGACACGGAAACCCAGGGUUUGCCUUUUU
rnacentral:pre_miRNA from 1 species